UAUCCGGAGGUUCGAAUCCUUCCGUCCCAG
rnacentral:tRNA from 1 species